AUGUACCCUGUAGCAUGGGCUGUUGUGGAAAAAGAAACUACAGAGACAUGGAAGUGGUUUAUUGGGCUGCUAAUCAAGGAUUUGGAUAUCAAUGAUCAAGGAGCUGGCUGGGUUUUUAUUUCUGACCAGCAAAAGGUAAUUUUGUCUACAAGUUUCUUAGUAUCUUGCAUUAUUUGUUCCAUAUGUGUAUGUUGUACUUGUUCCUUGUGUGGUUGUCGAUAA
rnacentral:rRNA from 1 species